rnacentral:tRNA from 1 species
UAUGUUUUAGUAUAUGAUGUACAAGGACUUUUGAUGUCUUUAGAAAUGGUUUAAUUCCAUUAGAUAUAA